rnacentral:rRNA from 1 species
GGAGUUAGCCGGUGCUUCUUCUGUGAGUGAUGUCCUUCCUGCCGGCUAUUAACCCGCAGGCCUUCUUCCUCACUGAAAGUGCUUUACAACCCGAAGGCCUUCUUCACACACGCGGCAUGGAUGGAUCAGGGUUGCCCCCAUUGUCCAAUAUUCCCCACUGCUGCCUCCCGUAGGAGUCUGGGCCGUGUCUCAGUCCCAGUGUGGCUGAUCAUCCUCUCAGACCAGCUACGGAUCGUCGCCUUGGUGAGCCGUUACCUCACCAACCAGCUAAUCCGACAUAGGCUCAUCCGAUAGCGCGAGGCCCGAAGGUCCCCCGCUUUCCCCCGUAGGGCGUAUGCGGUAUUAGCCUGGGUUUCCCCAGGGUUAUCCCCCACUACCGGGCAGAUUCCUAUGCAUUACUCACCCGUCCGCCGCUCGCCACCAGGGAGCAAGCUCCCCGUGCUGCCGCUCGACUUGCAUGUGUUAGGCCUGCCGCCAGCGUUCAAUCUGAGCCAGAAUCGAACCCUGA